rnacentral:rRNA from 1 species
CGGCGGACGGGUGAGUAACGCGUGGGUAACCUGCCUCAUACAGGGGGAUAACAGUUAGAAAUGACUGCUAAUACCGCAUAAGCGCACAGGACCGCAUGGUCCGGUGUGAAAAACUCCGGUGGUAUGAGAUGGACCCGCGUCUGAUUAGUUAGUUGGCGGGGUAACGGCCCACCAAGGCGACGAUCAGUAGCCGGCCUGAGAGGGUGAACGGCCACAUUGGGACUGAGACACGGCCCAGACUCCUACGGAAGGCAGCAG